AACGAACGCUGGCGGCAGGCUUAACACAUGCAAGUCGAGCGCCCCGCAAGGGGAGCGGCAGACGGGUGAGUAACGCGUGGGAAUCUACCGAGCCCUAAGGAAUAGCUCCGGGAAACUGGAAUUAAUACCUUAUACGCCCUUUUGGGGAAAGAUUUAUCGGGGUUUGAUGAGCCCGCGUUGGAUUAGCUAGUUGGUGGGGUAAAGGCCUACCAAGGCGACGAUCCAUAGCUGGUCUGAGAGGAUGAUCAGCCACAUUGGGACUGAGACACGGCCAAAACUCCUACGGGAGGCAGCAGUAGGGAAUAUUGGACAAUGGGCGCAAGCCUGAUCCAGCCAUGCCGCGUGAGUGAUGAAGGCCCUAGGGCUGUAAAGCUCUUUCACCGGUGAAGAUAAUGACGGUAACCGGAGAAGAAGCCCCGGCUAACUUCGUGCCAGCAGCCGCCGUAACAC
rnacentral:rRNA from 1 species